AUUGAACGCUGGCGGCAUGCCUUACACAUGCAAGUCGAACGGUAACGGGCCUUCGGGUGCCGACGAGUGGCGAACGGGUGAGUAAUGUAUCGGAACGUACCUUUCAGUGGGGGAUAACGUAGCGAAAGUUACGCUAAUACCGCAUAUUCUGUGAGCAGGAAAGCGGGGGAUCGCAAGACCUUGCGCUGAUUGAGCGGCCGAUAUCAGAUUAGCUAGUUGGUGAGGUAAAGGCUCACCAAGGCGACGAUCUGUAGCGGGUCUGAGAGGAUGAUCCGCCACACUGGAACUGAGACACGGUCCAGACUCCUACGGGAGGCAGCAGUGGGGAAUUUUGGACAAUGGGCGCAAGCCUGAUCCAGCAAUGCCGCGUGCGGAAGAAGGCCUGGUGUAACGACUUGUC
rnacentral:rRNA from 1 species